GCCUUUAGUUCAGCCACAACUUCCCUGAAAGAACAAAUUCACUACACUCUCAACAUAGAAACACAAGAAGCAUACCAUUGGCACAUAAAUUUGUUGCUGUGAAGUUCAUAAUAGCGUUCAGCCCACAUUUAUUAGAACCUUACAAUUCGAUUCGAUUUUCCAUCCUAGCCAUUCGAAUUUAUGGAGUGAAACUCAAAUGUACUUGAAUCUUACCCGAAUCUUAUGCUUCAAUAAUGAAUAGGGUCAAUCGGUCAAUUCUUUUUCUAAAGGUUUGUUAGACCCCAUAGCUUCAAAAUAUAAUAUUUCCCUUCAUUUUUUACUGGGAAAAGUGUGCAUAAAACUUUUCCUUACCUAUUUUUCUUCCACUAGCCAUUCUUUUCCCUCUCCCUUUUCUUUCUUUUUCUUUUUUUUAUUUUUUGUUAAUUUACUCCUCUAAU
rnacentral:misc_RNA from 1 species